rnacentral:rRNA from 1 species
UACGUAGGGGGCAAGCGUUAUCCGGAUUUACUGGGUGUAAAGGGAGCGUAGACGGCGGGGCAAGUCUGGAGUGAAAGGCCGGGGCCCAACCCCGGGACCGCUCUGGAAACUGCCCGGCUGGAGUGCGGGAGAGGUAAGCGGAAUUCCUAGUGUAGCGGUGAAAUGCGUAGAUAUUAGGAGGAACACCAGCGGCGAAGGCGGCUUACUGGACCGUGACUGACGUUGAGGCUCGAAAGCGUGGGGAGCAAACAGG